rnacentral:rRNA from 1 species
AUAAUAGAGAGUUUGAUCCUGGCUCAGGACGAACGCUGGCGGCGUGCCUAACACAUGCAAGUCGAACGUGAUCCAGGAAGUAGUUUACUACGACCUGGUGAAAGUGGCGGACGGGUGAGUAACGCGUGGGUAACCUGGCCUAUGGAAGGGGAUAGCCUCGGGAAACCGGGAUUAAUACCGUAUAUAGUUGGAUGAUCGCAUGAUCGACCAAUGAAAAAUUUAUUGCCAUAGGAUGGACCCGCGUCCCAUUAGCUAGUUGGUGAGAUAACAGCUCACCAAGGCGACGAUGGGUAGCCGGCCUGAGAGGGCGAACGGCCACACUGGGACUGAGACACGGCCCAGACUCCUACGGGAGGCAGCAGUGGGGAAUAUUGCGCAAUGGGGGAAACCCUGACGCAGCAACGCCGCGUGAAUGAUGAAGGUCUUCGGAUCGUAAAGUUCUGUCGAAGGGGAAGAAAGAAAUGACGGUACCCUUAGAGGAAGCCCCGGCUAACUACGUGCCAGCAGCCGCGGUAAUACGUAGGGGGCAAGCGUUGUCCGGAAUUACUGGGCGUAAAGGGCGUGUAGGCGGUUUUUUAAGUCAGAUGUGAAAGUUCGGGGCUUAACCCCGGAAUUGCAUUUGAAACUGGAGAACUUGAGUACUGGAGAGGUAAGUGGAAUUCCUAGUGUAGCGGUGAAAUGCGUAGAUAUUAGGAGGAACACCAGUGGCGAAGGCGACUUACUGGACAGAUACUGACGCUGAGGCGCGAAAGCGUGGGGAGCGAACAGGAUUAGAUACCCUGGUAGUCCACGCCGUAAACGAUGAGUGCUAGGUGUUGGGGUAACUCAGUGCCGUAGUUAACACAAUAAGCACUCCGCCUGGGGAGUACGGUCGCAAGACUGAAACUCAAAGGAAUUGACGGGGGCCCGCACAAGCAGCGGAGCAUGUGGUUUAAUUCGAAGCAACGCGAAGAACCUUACCAGGUCUUGACAUUUCCUGACGACCUCAGAGAUGAGGAGUUCCCUUCGGGGACAGGAGGACAGGUGGUGCAUGGUUGUCGUCAGCUCGUGUCGUGAGAUGUUGGGUUAAGUCCCGCAACGAGCGCAACCCUUGUAUUUAGUUGCCAUCAGGUAAAGCUGGGCACUCUAGAUAGACUGCCGUAGAUAAUACGGAGGAAGGUGGGGAUGACGUCAAAUCAUCAUGCCCCUUAUGACCUGGGCUACACACGUGCUACAAUGGUCUGAACAGAGGGCAGCGAAACAGCGAUGUGGAGCCAAUCUCAAAAAACAGAUCUCAGUUCGGAUUGCAGGCUGCAACUCGCCUGCAUGAAGUCGGAGUUGCUAGUAAUCGCGGAUCAGAAUGCCGCGGUGAAUGCGUUCCCGGGCCUUGUACACACCGCCCGUCACACCACGAGAGUUGGCAACACCCGAAGUCAGUGAGCGAACCAUUUAUGGAAGCAGCUGCCGAAGGUGGGGCUAGUAAUUGGGGUGAAGUCGUAACAAGGUAGCCGUAUCGGAAGGUGCGGCUGGAUCACCUCCUUU